UUUUUUGAUUUAUUUGGAUAAUAGGUGGUAUUAUGAUGAUUAUUAUUAUUACAACAAUGUGGUUUCCCAUAUUUAUUUCAGGAGGGUUGUAAAGCUGCUUUCGAACAAUAAAUCAAUCUUAUUUAAGCAUAUCUCUUGCCAAACAACCCGUAGUUAUUAUUACAUCAUUUCAAAUAGUGAUAGUCAUUUCUGUUAUCUCUUAAUUACGACGACGCCAAUCGGUGCCAAUUGCGCGUCAAUAAGUCGCAAGAGGAAAUUGACUAUUAUUUAUUUUUUUAUAAAAAGAACAAAUGAACAUUUCUGGUCCAAUUGGUUGAUUGUUCUGUUGCUCAAAAGAGUUAGAUAAAAAUUAAAAAAAAAACACAUCUGUUUCUGCAAAUUAUUUUCAUCAAAAUUCAAUAAAACUCCUGACGUUUUUCACCUAGCCACAAUUUUCCCACGAAAUCUUAAAUUUUAGAAGUAUCAUCAGAAUUGUGAAAUCAAAUUUCUGUUUUCUGGCAAUCGUGAAGUGGCUCGCGCAAAACUACACAGAUAACAACUCAUCCCUACACCCACCAUUGUUUUCCCACCUAUAAAAGAUUAAAACUUGAGAGAGACACGUCAGUUCCACGCACAAAAAUUUCCAAAAAUGAAGGUUUGCAGUGCAGUUCUCUUGGUGGCAGUUUUCGCCAUUUUGUAUCCCCAGUCCACCGAAGCGAAUGUAUCAAAAUGUUAUUACUGCAUGCACACCUGCAGUGACCCUCUCGAAGUCCAAGAGUGCCCAUCUUAUGGCGACUGGAGGUGCAUUUCAGCAAAGCUCAAAGAUGAUAGGGUCAAAGGAUGCAUUUCAAGCAGUGACUCUGCAACGAAACAGAAUUGUGAUACGAUAGACAAUGCAGAUGAUGGAAAAUGCUUCAUUUGCGACUCCGAUCUUUGUAACUCUGCUGGAGUUUACUCAGCUUCGGUUGUUCUGCUGUCCAGUUUGUUCUUCCUCCUCACGAAACUUAUUUAAGCUAAAUUAUUAUAUUGUCUAAGUAGGUUUUUACCAAAAUGUACACAUGUACAUAAAACAAUAAAUUAUUUUCAUCACUA